rnacentral:rRNA from 1 species
AACCAGCACCUCAAGUUGUCAGGAGGAUUAUUGGGCCUAAAGCAUCCGUAGCCGGCUCUGUUAGUUUUCGGUUAAAUCCAUAUGCUCAACAUAUGGGCUGUCGGAAAUACUGCAGAGCUAGGGAAUGGGAGAGGUAGACGGUACUCGGUAGGAAGGGGUAAAAUCCUUUGAUCUAUCGAUGACCACCUGUGGCGAAGGCGGUCUACCAGAACAUGUUCGACGGUGAGGGAUGAAAGCGUGGGGAGCAAACC